GAGCUUGCUUCUCCGGAUGAGUUGCGAACGGGUGAGUAACGCGUAGGUAACCUGCCUGGUAGCGGGGGAUAACUAUUGGAAACGAUAGCUAAUACCGCAUAAGAGUAGAUGUUGCAUGACAUUUGCUUAAAAGGUGCAAUUGCAUCACUACCAGAUGGACCUGCGUUGUAUUAGCUAGUUGGUGGGGUAACGGCUCACCAAGGCGACGAUACAUAGCCGACCUGAGAGGGUGAUCGGCCACACUGGGACUGAGACACGGCCCAGACUCCUACGGGAGGCAGCAGUAGGGAAUCUUCGGCAAUGGACGGAAGUCUGACCGAGCAACGCCGCGUGAGUGAAGAAGGUUUUCGGAUCGUAAAGCUCUGUUGUAAGAGAAGAACGUGUGUGAGAGUGGAAAGUUCACACUGUGACGGUAUCUUACCAGAAAGGGACGGCUAACUACGUGCCAGCAGCCGCGGUAAUACGUAGGUCCCGAGCGUUGUCCGGAUUUAUUGGGCGUAAAGCGAGCGCAGGCGGUUAGAUAAGUCUGAAGUUAAAGGCUGUGGCUUAACCAUAGUACGCUUUGGAAACUGUUUAACUUGAGUGCAAGAGGGGAGAGUGGAAUUCCAUGUGUAGCGGUGAAAUGCGUAGAUAUAUGGAGGAACACCGGUGGCGAAAGCGGCUCUCUGGCUUGUA
rnacentral:rRNA from 1 species